UACGUAGGGUGCAAGCGUUGUCCGGAAUUAUUGGGCGUAAAGAGCUCGUAGGCGGUUUGUCGCGUCUGCUGUGAAAUCCCGAGGCUCAACCUCGGGUCUGCAGUCGAUACGGGCGGACUGGAGUUCGGCAGGGGAGACUGGAAUUCCUGGUGUAGCGGUGAAAUGCGCAGAUAUCAGGAGGAACACCGGUGGCGAAGGCGGGUCUCUGGGCCGAUACUGACGCUGAGGAGCGAAAGCGUGGGGAGCAAACAGG
rnacentral:rRNA from 1 species